rnacentral:tRNA from 1 species
GCGCCCGUGGCUCAGCUGGAUAGAGCACCUGAUUGCGGUUCAGGAGGUCUCAGGUUCGAAUCCUGACGGGCGUA